GAUGAACGCUGGCGGCGUGCCUAAUACAUGCAAGUCGAGCGAACAGACGAGGAGCUUGCUCCUCUGACGUUAGCGGCGGACGGGUGAGUAACACGUGGAUAACCUACCUAUAAGACUGGGAUAACUUCGGGAAACCGGAGCUAAUACCGGAUAAUAUAUUGAACCGCAUGGUUCAAUAGUGAAAGACGGUUUUGCUGUCACUUAUAGAUGGAUCCGCGCCGCAUUAGCUAGUUGGUAAGGUAACGGCUUGCCAAGGCGACGAUGCGUAGCCGACCUGAGAGGGUGAUCGGCCACACUGGAACUGAGACACGGUCCAGACUCCUACGGGAGGCAGCAGUAGGGAAUCUUCCGCAAUGGGCGAAAGCCUGACGGAGCAACGCCGCGUGAGUGAUGAAGGUCUUCGGAUCGUAAAACUCUGUUAUUAGGGAAGAACAAAUGUGUAAGUAACUAUGCACGUCUUGACGGUACCUAAUCAGAAAGCCACGGCUAACUACGU
rnacentral:rRNA from 1 species